rnacentral:rRNA from 1 species
CCAUGGAAGCCGGGGGGUGCCUGAAGUGCGCUGCCGCGAGGAGCGCCCUAGGGUAAAACCGGUGACUGGGGCUAAGUCGUAACAAGGUAUC